AUUGGAGUGAACCAACUAGGACAAAAGACAGGGGAAAGGUAAAAUGAAACACUUCAAAAAUCAGUAUUCCAGAGAGGCAGUACCAGAGCACUAAGGAAUGGCGUUGAAUCUGGAGCUGAAGAAACAAGGCAGCAACAGUCUGUGCGAGUCACUUACUUCAUUUGAGACUGAUUUCCAAGUGAUUUAAAAUUCAGGAAUUCUGUUUACGUGAUAGAGUCCUCUUUAGCACAGUUGAAAUGGACUGUGAAGAAUUCAAUUUCAGUGUUUUUACACGGAUUUAAUUAUUUUCUCAUCAUGAUAAUGGCUGGACCUGGCAUCAGAGAAUCAAGUGUAAACUUGGAGCUAUCUGCUUGGGGCUUUCCUUACUGUGGUAAUGUGAACAUGGAUUUCAACUGUUACAGCUGACUGCACAGUACUUGUAUCUCACUUUUUAAAGAAAAAAAUCAAUUCCUUUCUUAGCACACACUCAGUCAUUCAGCUUACUGAGAACAUUUUAUGUUUUCUGAACCCAACACAAUGAGAGAGGGUACUAUCAUACCUCUGUGUGAAUUAGUUAUUCAAGUUAGGAACAGCAUCAAAAGAUUUGGUGCAUGAUAGUGCCUCACAUUUGCUCUAUGUUGACAGCAAAAGCAGAAGCUUUUUUGGGGGGAAUGCCCAAAAAAAUCAGCUAAAGUCUAACACCAGUAGUAUUUCAAGUACAUGUUUGGUGGCAAGAAUAUAAAUUAGAAUGAGUAUCAUGGCAGAAAAGAACAGGGAAUUCAGGAGGACGAUGUCUCAAAUUCCAAAGGAAGGUUGAUUAUGGCAAUUAUUCUGAGAAGAUAUAAUAUCUGGACUACAAAAGACAAUUACUGGCUCCUUGACUUAGUUCCUGGUUACUAAAAUAAGGUAAAACAGGGCCUGAGAGACACUGGGUUUAGGAACCAUUUGAAUCAUACCAGGGUACGGCUUCAGUGCAGUGUUUGGUAAAGUUUCAAGUACUUUAAUAAAUCAUCGUCAAAAUCACAGCCUUGCUCUUUUUCUAGGUUUAUCCCUAUGAGCAGGAGACAAGUGUAUAACUUAACACCUCUGUGGCUGUUAAGUUGCCCAAACUGAAAGAAGUAACAGCUGUAACAGUUGAAAUCCAUGUUCACAUUCAAGUGUAAUUGAAUUCUUUCAGUUUGGGCAUCUUAACUUUCAUUCAUUCCUUAUCUCUAAGAUGAGGACAAUAACUGAUUUCUUGCUGGAUUUGUAAAGUUGUAAAAAUACCUGAGAAUUUAUUUAGCAUAAUGACAGUGUCCCAUCUCCUCUACUAUGUCUUUGACUCAAGGCUGCUCUACCUGUAAUAAAAAAGACUCAACAACAUCGAAAACACUUUUAAAAAAAUCAAACCAGUCUUGAGGACCUCUCUAAGAUCUGAAAUAAACUUUUGUUUUCUAAAAUUCUUUGAUCUGUGCAGGCAUGCCGGGAGACUGUUUAGAUUUCAUUUUUUUCCUUGGGGGUGGCAAUAAAACUUGGGCAUCUAUUCUUACUUUUCACAGUCUUAUAUAUGGCUUAGAAAAAAUAUAUACAAGAAAAUUCAGAAUGAUAAACCCACUUUUACUUUACAUAAAAAUCAAAUUAAAAAUAGAUAUAUGCAGGAUGUAAACAUAAACAUCCAGAAAAUAUUAUACAUGCUCUGGAAUACAAACCUAUCUACUGUUGAUGAAUGGGUGAAGUGAAUGUGCUACAUUUAUACAAUGGAAUAUUACGCAGGCUUUAAAAAAUUAAAUCAUGAAAUUUGCAGCUAAAUGAAUGGAUGGAACUAGAAAAAGUUCUCCUGAGUGAAGCAACACAGACCCAGAAAGACAAAUAUGGUGUAUAUUGGCUUAUCUGUGGAUAUUAGCAGUAAAGUCAAAGAUAACCAAGUUAUAAUGUAUAAAAUCACAGAAGUUAUGUAUAAAUUAAGGUUGGGGGUUGAGAGUUACCCCUAAAAAAUGGAAAUAGAACAGAUAAUUAAAUAUAGAUGCAUGGAGAGCUGUAAUGGGAUGAUCAAGUGGGUAGGGGAAGAAAAGAGGGAGAUGAAGAAAUACAGGGAAAGACAACUAAAAUUAAGGUCUAUUUGAAGUGUAGUAUGAAAACCUGAUACUAUAGAAGCUUUAUAAAAUAUAUACAUAUAUGAAGGGGAUAUAAAUAAGAUUGCCAAAUAAUGGGAGGCAGAGCCUCAACUUGCUAUCCCUUGUCACCAAAUGAAGCUUCUAAUACCAUAACUGGCUUACAUCUAAUUAAGUUAUUGGUCAAAGAGUUCCCAUAGGACCCCCCAAACAAUCUGACCUAUAUACAAAACAAGUUGCUCUCCAGAAACUGAUGGGAAGUUCCCAUUGCUUAACAAAGCAUCUACAUAACUCAUUGUCCGUGGAGAAGUGGAAUUGAUCUGCUGCAUACAUAGAGCCUUUACCUUCAUGUGCUAGCUCGUGUCUUUGGUACAGGAGGGCACGCUGUAUGCUACCAAAGGAUAAACAUAAACACCAACCCCAUCCCAAAAUCUUUGAUCUACAAUAGUGACCUGCUUGCAUAUGCUAAGGUACAAAAUGUUUGUAGGAGUAACCAACCAAUAUUUGAAGGUGGUCUCAAGCUAGAUAAAGGUUAAUUCUCUGUUUCAAUGUCAUACUGAUAUCUCCAAACACACAUUUGGAGUGAACAUAAUAAGAAAUAAUUUACUUUAAACUUUUCUCACUUGUCUACUAAAGUGCACAGCUUUCCAAGGGUGUAUUUGCAAUAUUUUUCCUGUGUUUUAUUCUAUAACCAUCCUGUCCCCUUUCCAAUGACAAAGUAUGUAUGUAUGAGUGCUCUCAAAGAAAGAAGCAGUAUAAAGCAAACCAGUAAAGAUGGGUUUUAUGAGAGGACUUAUUAGAUAACUAGAUGUUUCAAAUAAUGCUACCUGCAACUUUCAGAAUACGAAUACUAAAAAAAUAAUUCAGGUUAGAUCUGUAAGCAUCUAUAAGCUCUAAGUACAUGGUUAGCUCUUUUGUAGUCAACAGCAAAAGGCUUCAAAACCUAUAGAAGAUCUGAUGAAGGUUCAAGAAACCAAAGGCUAGAGAUCUUGGGGUUCUUGUGAGCAAGAUGGAAGAAAAAGAAUGUCACAACUCCAUAAGAAAAUAAAACCUCAUAUCUCCUCUCUCUUUUGUUCUGUCUUGGCCCUCAGCUGAUUAGCUGGUGCCUGCCUAUAUUGAGAGUGGAUCUUACCUACUCUUUCCACCACCUCCCAAGCUAAUCUCCUAUAAGAUCUCUUCCAGAGACAAACCCAGAAAUAAUGCUUUGCCAGCUGCACGCGCCACUCAACUCACCCAAACUGGCUUCUAAAAUUAAAUGUAACAGUACAUUACUAAAUAUUUUCUCUGCUGCUUCAUUCAUGGAAUUAUUGUAUUACCAUCAGGUAACUAUCAACUGACAUUUUAUAGGAGAAGAAUUCAUAAGUCGUAUUUUCUUUCAUUUUUUUCUCUCUAUCCUUACCUUUAACUCUUAUUUCACAAAUAUGCAUCUGAGAAUUUGUGAUUAUAGAACUAGCUAACUAAUGUCAGUAAGUUCGUGAAGUGGAAUAGAAUAUAAAUAUUGUUUCUUCUCGCUAAAUGAUUUUCACAUUCUGGUGGAUAGGUGGAAGCUCACAGAAUAAGAAUUACAUAGAGAAGUGUAGGAACCCAUAGCAGAUUCAGCAAGUCAGAGUUGACCAUUGUCCAAAGGGUGCUCCCGUGUCAGCCUACCUGCUAUAUAGGAGCAAGAAAUUAAAAACCCCUCUGCCAUUUUUUCCUUUUUAUCUUUCUUUCAUUUUUUAGACUAAAGAAUACUAAAAUUUCUUUACAACAGAACCCUGUGUUCCUUUCCAGCUAUAAUGGUUAUUCUAAUUCAACCUCUACAGGAUAUUGGGCUGAAGCCAACACUGAAAGCUGGGAAAGUUUUAGAAAUCUACCAGGUCACUGAACUUGCAAAGAGUUCUGAGUGAUUCCUGAGAAAUUACCUGCCAUGCAAAAUAACAGCUCAGCCUAUUCUAAAAGCAAGGGAAUAAAACAUAACGAGCAAGCACACUGCCAAAGGUCUGGUGCCCAAAUUUGCGAGAGCUCCUGAAAGAAAUGAAGAAAGAAAAAUAUUCCAAUUUGUGCUGCUCAUUUCUACUCACUGGAACAUGAUGGAACUCCCAAUGGCCAGUCCCUUAAAGAAAACUGAGUCCUUCCCCACUUGUACCCCUAUCAGAAACCACCAGUUGUGGAGAACUACACUUUGUUGACUGAAGUUUCUGUCCAUCCUGGUCCCACAGCUAUUCGGUCCCCACAAAAAUACAGAGAUGUCUACAACAUUAAUCAUAAACUGGAUGGAUUAGUA